AGCAUAUAAGUAAGCGGAGGAUAAGAAACUAAAUAGGAUUCCCUCAGUAAUGGCGAAUGAACAGGGAUAAGCUCAGCAUGGAAAUUGGGGCCUGUGGCCUUGAAUUGUAGUCUGGAGAUGUACUGCCAACGGAGGCGCAGAUGUAAGCCUCUUGGAAAAGAGCAUCAACGAGGGUGAGAGUCCCGUUUGUCAUCUGCAGUCCCCCGUGCACGGCGUACCUUCUAAGAGUCACGUUCCUCGGGAUUGGAGCGCAAAGUGGGUGGUAAAUUUCAUCUAAAGCUAAAUAUUGGUUCGAGACCGAUAGCAAACAAGUACCAUGAGGGAAAGGUGAAAAGGACUUUGAAAAGAGAGUUAAAAGUGCCUGAAAUUGCUGAAAGGGAAGCGAACGGAACCAGUGUGUCUUGGCGAGAUUGUUGCAUGCCAAUGUGAUGAUCUGCUGCUUCAGCGCAAGCGUGGCAGUAGGUUUUGAUCAGGACGUGUGCAGUGCUUCUUGCCUUGUGUGUCAACUUCAGUUCGCAUUUGAAGAAAACUCCGGGGACAUGGUAGCCUGCCUUCGGGUGUGUGAAUGUGCCUGGCUGAAUUCGUUUGCGUACUGCUUGCUGACUAAAUGGUUCCUUUCGACCCGUCUUGAA
rnacentral:rRNA from 1 species